GUUCCAACAAAAGAAUCACCUCACUGAACAAACAGUACAGCAGUGGGUAUGUGAUGUUCAGCAAUGGGCAGUCGCAGAGCUAGUCUCCACACCAGGGAGCACAGAGGACCUCAGAGCUGAGAUAGAGAGCAUCACAGUUAGCCUGCUCCGCAAGAAGCAAGACCUCUAUCGUCAACAUGAUAGCAACCAGACAAGGCAAAGGAAGAGAAAGAAAAUAAGAGAUUUAAAGAAAAAACUAAGAGAAAAGAUCUUGCAGUACAAUUCAACUGAAGAGGAUAAGAUUGAUGAAGAGUUGGCCUGCAGUUUGACGGAAGACUACAUCCUUGAGAGAGGCUUGAAGAUGGCCACUCCUUCAGGUUAAAACGGUCAGUUUUUGACCAAAUGAUGCUACUUAAACGCCUUGAGGAGGAGCAGAGCAUCCUGGUCAAAGAGAUGUCCCAGCACAUCAAGUCUCUCCAGAAGGAGAUAAAGGGAGUGGAGAAGUGCAAAAAGAACAUCAGAAUGGGCAAUUUUGGUGACAUGACGGAGGACGCUGCAGAGGGUUGGAAAAGUGUCCUCAUGCGGCAGUCUUCUGCACUGGAGAGGUUAUGUCAAGAAGCCGUAAGCACAUAUCACGCU